rnacentral:rRNA from 1 species
CAGUAGCCGCGGGAAUACGUAGGUCCCGAGCGUUGUCCGGAUUUAUUGGGCGUAAAGCGAGCGCAGGCGGUUAGAUAAGUCUGAAGUUAAAGGCUGUGGCUUAACCAUAGUACGCUUUGGAAACUGUUUAACUUGAGUGCAAGAGGGGAGAGUGGAAUUCCAUGUGUAGCGGUGAAAUGCGUAGAUAUAUGGAGGAACACCGGUGGCGAAAGCGGCUCUCUGGCUUGUAACUGACGCUGAGGCUCGAAAGCGUGGGGAGCAAACAGGAUUAGAUACCCGUGUAGUCCCUGUCUCUUAUACA